UGGUUCUCUCAUGAACUCACUUAGUACCAUGGACACAGAAUGGGAGAAGGAGAACAUGACAGUUAAUACAUAAGCUCACUGGCUGUGGCGAAAGACGCUAUGAUGAACAUCCUGAAAUGUGUUUCUCAGGGAUGUGCCCUUCAGCAGGCUGACCCACUUGGAGGAUGGGAGUGAUCUCAGUGUUGUUCAACAGUGCCAGAUGGAACACCUCGUCAAGAGUGAGAUGAGUGGUUUUGCUCUGCCACAUGUUCCUACUGCAGGGUGCUGCUUCCUUACACGUCUAAAGCAACUGGGCCAACAGAUUAUGGACCAGAAUCUCCAGGAUCAGGAGCUAACACAAAACUUAUCUUUUUAUAAGUGAAUUAUCACAUAUAUUUUGUCAUAGCAAUAGACAGCUGAUUGACACCAUUCUCAUCUGCAAUUACCAUUAGUAAAUAUUUAUUUAUUCUCCCUUCUACUUAGUCUAUCGAAUAUAAGACUUCCAUGGAGCUGAACCUUAAGGAAUAGGGAUAAAAUAUUGUGUCUCAGUUUUACCUAUCAAUGCCUUUUACCUUUAAGUAAGUGUAUUCAUUUUUAAAAUAUUCUUUGACUUGGUGUAGGUGUCUUGCUAAGCUGCUAAACUGCCUGAUCUCAGGAAUUUUGGGUCAGGAAUCACAGCUGCCAGAGCACUACUUCUCAGGUUUCUUUUCCCCUCUUUUACAAUAUGGCAGAAGAACCCCUGGAUUGGUCUCUUGUAAAUAUUGUACAAGAAAACCAGGGCAGAGCAGGGGCUCAGAGGCAUAGAGGAGAAGGGACCUCAAACUCUUGGGCUCAAGGGAUUCUCUUGCCUCAGCUUCCCAAGUAGCUGGGACUAUAGCUGUGAGAACUACACAAGGCUAACAAAGGUGUCUGAAGGCAGGUGUCUUAAUGAAUUUUGCUCAACAAUUUUUAGUUAAUGAGUAGGAAUUAGAGCUCAGCAGCUAAAAAUUUCCCCUGCCUUGUUUCCUCUCUUUGUAAUGGAGCCUUGGUGAGACACUUGGACUGAGCAGCAAGUUCUGCUUUUCACUGACUGUCUUUGGCUGGUUCUCUUUUCCCCCAUUUCUUGAGGUAUAGUUGUGCAGUCUCAGGACUCCUCCUACCCUUCAAGGCCUGUUAAGGUUUGUUAGUCAACAAAUAAGGAUCAGACUAGGAAUUCAUGAACAUUCUCCAGUUUGUUUUGUUCACAUUCAUUUAUUCAGCAAACACUAAUUAAGCACCAAGCACAGGACACUUGUUUAAGGCUGUUGAUGCAAAGGUAAAUACAAUGA